GACAGAGGGUGCAAGCGUUGUUCGGAAUUACUGGGCGUAAAGGGCGUGUAGGCGGUGGAGUGUGUCUGGUGUGAAAGCCCUCGGCUUAACCGAGGAACUGCAUUAGAAACUACUCCGCUGGAGUGCGAGAGGGGAAGGCGGAAUUCCCAGUGUAGAGGUGAAAUUCGUAGAUACUGGGAGGAACACCGGAGGCGAAGGCGGCCUUCUGGCUCGUAACUGACGCUGAGACGCGAAAGCGUGGGUAGCAAACAGG
rnacentral:rRNA from 1 species